ensembl:lncRNA
CUUUAGUCCAACAACAGAAAAUGUCUGUAAACUCAUUAGUUUGAAUAGAGACAAGUUCUUGACCAAUGACAAUGCAACCCUCUUAUAGGGUGAAAAACACUGAGAUAUUUAACCUAAUUAGAUUUUUCUGUGGAUGCUACUUGGGUUACACUACCCUGCAUUUGCCCUGCCAUUGUUAAAGGAGCUUGCUGAAUGGCUCACAGCAUUGAAUGGCAGAAAGAAUUAAUGAGGGACAGAAAAAAAAAAAAGCUAAGGCAGAUGAGAAAAUGGGCUGUCAUGCUACCGUCCAAGACUCGCUAGUUUCGGGAAGCUAUUUGCAGUAACACGGUGACCUUGAAACUUUCCUCAUGACAGGUAGUACGGUGUAGUAGGCACUGUGCUUGCACACUGUUGUACAAUUACAUAUAAGGCUUAACUUCUUAUCUUCUGACAGUCUGACCAUGAAAGCUGUCCUCACAGCAAAUGUACGGGAUGUAAUUUAUCAUUUAUAUUUAAUACUUGAGCUGUUUGAAUCGCUUGAACAUUUUUGUCAUAAUGCUGGUACAUGAUUAGAGCGUAUUCAGGUUUGUUUGUUUUUUAACAACCGGUUUAUUAGUCUGAGUGUCUCAUCUGUGCACUACUGAGGUGUGUGUGUGUGUGUGUGUGUGUGUGUGUGUAUGCCUAUGAUCGAUUAAAUUAAGAGCCAGUCUGCAAUGUGAGCUUUUGAAAGUGGCCUGCUUUUUUCAUAUUGGAUUCUAGUAUAGAAGAAAUGUUUCUCAGUUUCAUCUGGUCAUUCUAGUACACAUGAACAACACACACACACACACACACACACACACAAAGACACCUUUCAUCUUCCCUUUCAGUUAGGUUAAUAGCAAAUUAAUGAAGAUUUAUCUGAGAAUACUGUCUCACUGGGUGAUUCAGACUAGGCAAAACUGAGAAGAACCUGAUGUUUACACGCAUCAGCCGGUUCACACCUCAUCUUCACACUCAGAACUGUGUCUCACUGAUGUGAGCAUUGGAGAAUGACAGAGAAGAUAAAGCAGGGCUCAGAUACAACUUGAAUCAUAACAGAGGGAUCUUCAAGCUCUGAGAUUCCUUACCAUGUUAAUAAGUGCUCUUGUGUUAUGAAUUAUAUUUAUGUCAGUUUUUUUGAGUAACAGAGCGUUUUAAACAGAUAUGUGUCAUCAGCUGUAGGAUGUGACCUGCUUCCAUUAUUCCUAGAGUACAAUGACACCAUGACUCAGAACAACUCACAGAAGACAAUGAAAUUGUACUGUAUGUAUGUAAGGUGUUGGGAUUUUGUCGUUCCGCUUGAGUUUUUUAAAAAUGGUUCUCAGAUCUUUAAAGGGUACUACUACUUUACUACUUUGUGCUACUGUGCACCUUAUCAGAUGGGCAUGAAAGCAAAACGCGACUGUGUCGUGAGUAAGAUUUUGUAAAAGGACACUGGAUUUGUUUGUUUUUAUUUUCAAAUGGCAUGUUUCUUUGGAACUGGAGCUUUAAAUAAGAUUUUUCUGACAAUCAGAUUUAGAGAUUAUGUAGUAAGUUAUGUAAAGAGAAUAAAACCAAUAAAAUUU